CUCCUGAAUAAAAUGCACAGGUACCAGAGAGUCCAGAUCAUCAUGUUGCUGGAGGCAUCUAAGCUGACAGUUUAAAUGUAAGUAAAGAAGCUGAGCUAUACUGUAUAGCCAACAAGCUGCAGGAAAAGUCAGUACCAACGCUUCUUUCUCUGCUUUCCUUCUUUAUUUUACUACUGCUACAAUCUGCUGAAAAGAGCACUAACAGAUUACAGACUUGUUCCAUCAGGGAGAAUGAAAGUCUGCCUGGAACAGUGAUGGGGAACCUGUGGUCUUCCAGAUGUUGUUGAAUUACCUGUCUGUUGGCCAUGGUGGCUGGAGCUUAUGGAAGAUGGAGUCAAGCCAGCAUCUGGGAGAGCCACAGGUUACCCAUCUCUGAGAAAAAGGGAAUGUAAGAAAGUGAAAAGCUUCUGGGAAAUGAUAUAUAAUGAGAUGAAAAAGAUGUUGAAAUAUACAUUUAUUAAAAAAAAUCAACCAAAAGCAUUUUCACUUGGCAUUGUAGGGAAGGAUAUUAACAGACAGGACAGUAAAUUGUUUUUAUAUGCAACAACGGCAGCAAGAAUAUUAUUGGCACAAAAAUGGAAACAAGAAGAAUUACCAACGAAAGAAGAGUGGCAAAUGAAAUUAAUGGAUUAAGCAGAAUUAGAUAAGAUGACAGGAAGGAUUCAAAACCUGCGGGACCAGAGAUUCUUAGAGGACUGGAGUAAAUAUCUGAAUUAUUUGAAAAGAAAUUGCAAUAAACAGAUUACGCUAGUAGGACUGCAAGAAGUUUUGUAAGGAGGACUAUGCGAAAUAUUGCAGAGAAGACUAUGAAGAGAGUUAUUAGUUAAGGACAAUUAAAAGUAAUAGAGAAAUUAAGAAAUGU